rnacentral:rRNA from 1 species
UACGUAGGGGGCAAGCGUUGUCCGGAUUUAUUGGGCGUAAAGAGCGUGUAGGCGGCCAUGCAGGUCAGCUGUGAAACUCGAGGCUCAACCUCGAGACGUCGGUUGAAACCGCAUGGCUAGAGUCCGGAAGAGGAGAGUGGAAUUCCCGGUGUAGCGGUGAAAUGCGCAGAUAUCGGGAAGAACACCUAUGGCGAAGGCAGCUCUCUGGGACGGUACUGGACGCUGAAGACGCGAAAGCGUGGGGAGCAAACAGG